rnacentral:misc_RNA from 1 species
AGGAGGUUUACAGGACUCAAACAGCAUGGCUCAUCCCUGAUGCUGAGCUUCGAGCAGAUUUGCAAAUUUCAACAUCUGUGAAGGUGAUUCAGGCCUAUCGAACAUUUGUUGGAAGACAGACCAAUCACAUAAGUGACAAGCACAUUAAGUACGGUGCUGAUGACUUACAAAAUUAUUUGUUGGAUCUCUUCACUGGAUCUCAAAGAUCAUUGCACAAUCCCCACAGGAGAUAAUAUAAUAAUAAAAUCAGAUUUACUUUUGUGAUUUAGUGAGGAAAGGCUUUUGGUUUUAUGUCCUCUGCUAAUGUAAUCGUAUUUUCUUCUCCUCUGCACUUGUAAGUUUUAUUUUGAUCAAUAAACAG